CUAAUCACCCGGUUUCGUGCAACCGGAAGAUGAGGUCACGUGUAAUGUUUUUCGUGGUUAAAUCACUCGUCCGCUGGCACAGGUGCUUUCAGAUGGCUGCUGCAUAUGGCUAGUCGUUUCUCAUGCAUUGACUGAAAAAUAUCACUCGUCACUUGGCUUGCGGCCCACUGAAUAUCGCUACUGUUUGCAAGAUAAAUUGUAAUUGGUUAUCUUCGCUAAAAACUGUCGGGAGGGAGAUUAUUGUUGUUUAAAAAAACAACAAAAACUGCUCUAUUUACUGUUUAUUAUUAUUAUAUUUCAAGAUCUUUCGCACAGCAACCAGUUGCCUUCGUGAUAAAUCAUCUGAUGCUUUUACUUUUCUUCUCUCCCUCCCGCUUUCAGUCAUCUCUCUUCGGUUGGAUUAAUUCUGUCGUUUUGGUGAACGUGUAACACUUGGCAUUUUCGACUUGUCAAUAAUUGGAUCUUAACAUGGCAGAAUCUCAUCACUCCAAAGGUGGAGCUGGGAUUCUAGCUAAAGCCCAGAAAAGGCUGGUCAGAACAAAAGCAAAAGUGUUGCAAAACCUUGGAAAAGCUGCACGAACCACAGAUCAAACAUUUGAUGAAUAUGUGAGCAAUUUCAACAAGCAGCAGGCAAUACUUACAAAGCUUCAGAAAGAUCUCCGAAAUUACCUAAACUGUUUAAAAGCUGUAUCAUAUGCCAACAAGACACUCUGUGACACAUUGUAUGAAGUUUAUGAAGAUGACUGGGAAGACCAGAAAACCUUCCACAGUCAUUUAGAGUCUUUUGAAUUGCACUGGAUGGAUUACAUAACUUCUUUGAAUGACCAUGUCCAAGAGCCAAUUAUCAUACAUUUGAAUAAAUUUCCAGAGUUAAGAAUGAAAAUCAAUAAAAGAGGAAGAAAGCUUGUUGAUUUGGAUAACACGAGGCAUACACUAGAAAACAUGAUUGGACAGAAAAAAAGAGAUGAAGCAAAAAUUGCAAAAGCACAAGAAGAGUUUACAGAAGCCAAAAAAGUGUUUGAUGAUAUUAAUAAUGAGCUACAAGUUGAACUUCCAGAGUUUUAUGACAAACGGGUACCGUUUUAUUCCCAAUCAUUCCAAAACCUGUUUGCUGCAGAAAAAGCCUUUCAUUCAGAACAAGGAAAUAUAUCAGCAACUUUGAUUGAAAUUUGUGAGUCUUUAUCAGCAAAUUUUAUAUUACCUGAAAGAAAGUCAACGAUACGAUCAGUAUCUGAGAGCAAUCAUCACCUUCAAAAUGUAAUUGACAGCUUCCAACAGUUUCAGAUGCAAUCUAAAGACAAUGGUGUAAUCUCCUUAGUUUUAAAGAGUGACUCAGAAAAUACAACAAUUUGUCCUAGUCAAGAGGAUAUCAAUGAACCAGAGUCUGAGCUUUAUCAAAAUGUGGCCAUCAGUAACCAAGAACACCCUAACAGUGGAGAGAGUUCUGAACCAGUCUUUCAACGUACUUCACCAAGUCUACAGGCAGCUGCUAAACCAUCUGAGGAUUCUGCAGGCUCAGUAAGUGUUUGCGAAGAGAAUGUUUCAGAAUAUCAGUCAUGCCUUGAAGAUUCUAGUCUCUAUGAAGUACCCCCAAACAACCAGUCCCUUAAAAAGCUUCCAGAUGGUAUACUAUAUCAAGUUCAAGCAACACAUCCCUAUUCACAAGCAGAUAGUGAUGAAUUAACAUUUGAAGCUGGUGAAGUUAUUGAUGUUAUUGAACCAGAUAAUCCUGAUGAAAUGGAUGACGGCUGGCUAAUGGGAAUUAAACAGUCGGAUGGUAUACAAGGAGUUUUUCCUGCCAACUUCACUAAAAAACUACUUGGUUGAUUAAGCAAAGAUUACUACAUAGUUAUUGUUAUUGUUGUUGUCAAUACUGUUGUCUCCCUGUAAGCCCAGGCUGGGACAAAUAGUUGAACUCGACUAUAUAACUGAACAACGACUGCAAUGAACUCACCAGUUUGGGAAGAUUUGGGUGCUUUUUGGGCACAGAACCAUCCUUCUCAGAUUAAACAAAGAAAAAAAAAUCAAGGUCACCCCUGAUUUACAACUGAAUAAUUGUAAUUAUGAAUGAUGGCUUGUAAUAUUUCUCAUGAAAAACGUGGAAAAAUUAUGUCUAAAACAAACAUUAAAAAAGCUAUAAGCAUUCAGGUAGUUUUUGUGAUCAGAUCUUAUGAAUUCAACUUUUGUAUAAAAGUUUUUAUGGCUAGUAUGCUUAAAGUCCUAAACCAUUUGCCUUUUAGGUGUCUUAUUUCAGCUAAGCUGCUUCACUUAAUGAACUCAAUCAAAAAUACAAUCCCAGUUGUUAAUCAGUGUAACUGAACCUAUCUUGAAGAAAAUAUCAAAAGAUAUAUAAUUUGAAUUUUUGUGGUGGCUUUUGAAAUUUUCUUUUAGAGCUUUUCUGAUAGUUGUACUAUUUUCAGUUCUAAACAUUUCUAAUUUGCAGCUAUACAAAAAUUAACAGUAAAAUGGGUGCUAAUGUUCUUGAUGUAAUGAACCAAAACUCUUUAAUUAAUUAUAAUUAUAUAUCAUUAAUGAUAAGAGCAGUUAAUAUAUGAGAUGCAGUGAGGAGUGAGUUUGGCCUUUAGCAAUACAGGAACUAAAGACUUGUUCCAGUCUUGCUAGACUUCAUCAGCAAAGCAUUGCCUUACUGUUACUGCAAGAUCUUGGGAUUACUGGGGAGAAAUAAAAUUUCUUGUGAAUGUAAUAACUUAAAAGUAUAACUAGAAGGGGUAAGAGCGAAAUACCCAAGGAUGCCUGCUGCACAAAAACAAAAUCUUAAUAGUAAAAUGCAAGCUAGCUCACUAGCUUACUUGAUGUAGUAAAACCAUAACUAAAAUUACACAAAGAUUAAAUAAGGUUGAGACUUCAACUUUACCUGGAUAAACUUUCAGCUUGAGUCAAAAUAGCUGUGCCUAUUGCCACUGAUUUACUGUUCUCUCAUUAUUUUGUGCUGUUGCUCAGUUUUCAACAAGCCUACAAUAUGUUUACAUAUUUAAAUUGUGAACAUACUAGACACUACUACGUGAUAUACUACACCACACUAGAACUACUGAUAAAUGUUCUUUUAUUUUACUUUGUCUUUUGACUGUCAACUCAGGUUACCUAAUAGUUAUUAUAUUUAGUUUCACAUUUGUUCAACUUUUAAAAGACCAAAAAUGUCUUAUGACAAGCUUUUGUGAUUGUAAUAGUUGGAUGAUGGCCUACAAUUGAAGUCAUUAACUGCUUUAGUAAUUUAAACUUGUCAGAUAAUUAAGGACAGCAUUGUACUAAAGUUGAACAACCCUUUUUCUUUUUCCUUCUUCUAUAAUGAAUAUUGAAUUUCAUUUAAUCUAAAUAAAUCUGGCAGCAAUAUACUUUUGAUGUUUUCUGAAUGAGUGACAUUUUAACAAAUACAAAAUCUCUGAUAAUUAAUUCUUUUAAACAGAAUCAAAAAAAAUAAUGUAUUAACUGAAAUGUCUAUCUAAUUUUUCACUAUUCUUUAUCUUUCGGUAUAAUUUACCAAUUUAUUUCAUCUCACUGUAAUUGUGUUGCCUGCAUAAGGAAAGUACUUCUAUUUGAACUCCAGUAUCCUACUACGCCUCCAUACUGAAUUGAACUUGCUCCUAUCUAGCUUCAUUUACUAAUGCUUAAUAUCCAGAAGAAGAAUAUUUAAGACUUUUCCAAGUAAACUGUAGUUAAUGGCAGGCCUACCUUAAUAUGAUGAGAUAUGGUACAGCUUUGUAGCAUAUAUUCAAUGACAUGAGGUUUAGGAUUUUCUUUGUUUGUUUUUAAUUUGGAAUUUUAUUUUUAUCCUUGAGCUUCGCUACUUAAAUAAUUUAUUUAAAUUUAAUUUAUCUGAGCAUUACUCAAUCUCUAAAAAUGUCUCCUAACUAAAGAAAAUGCUCUCUGUAUGUAUCAUUUUAAGAGGACAAGGUUUAUUAUUAAAAAAAAAAAAAAGAUAACAAAAAGAAAAAGAGAAAUUACUCAAAUUUUUUUAAUCUUCAGUAUCUGGUAAUGAAAUUUUGAAUAACUGUUCAUCUGGAAAGUAUUCUUUAAAAUGUUCAUUGUUAAAUGUUAGGUCUUCUCUCUCCCAUCAUAUACACACAGCAACUUUAUUUAUUUAACUCCACUAAUCAUCUCUCAAACCCCUUGACAAAAAUUUGUAUGAAGUCCUAACUGUUGUACUUAAUACCCGCCUUCAAAUAAUUUACCAUCUCUGUCCCUAACCCCACCCCCAUUUUGUUACCCCCGAGAAGAAAAAAAAAACAUUGAAAAAAAUCAAAAUAUUGGAAGUGGUUUUUUUUUUUUUUUUCUGCUUCAGUUUCCUUUCAGGAAGUUAAUUUGAUGGCCCUAAAUUGCCAAUCAAAUUUCUAUCAGUACUGUGUACACUUGCAAUUUUCUUCUAAGCUUUUAGCUCUUUGGUCAUAGAAACCCAUGUUAAGGGUAACCAAUGCUACAAUAUAUCUUUGGCUAAGCCCUUUGAGUUUCCAUUGGUCCUGCCGAAUAAGCUGUAAGGAGGUACAGUAGGAGCACUAAUAAUUUGUUAGUGUUUUCUCUCUCUUUUUUUUUUUUUUUUUUUUUUUUUUUUGAAAAUUUGUAUCAGUAUAUGUUUGAUAUAAAAUUCUUACAUAUACAGUUUUGUUAGAAGAAAACAUGAAAUUACAAGAAUUCAGUUUCACUAUAAUGAACAGGAUUCAAAUUUUGAUUGACAAACAGUAAUGUUACUGUUAAGACUGAAUGUGUUUUCAUCAUUCGAGUCCUCCUGUGCACGCAUAUGUAAGCUUUGAGACAGAUGGCUUCCUUCUGCCAGGCAAAUUUGCUUUAGAUUAAACUUUAUAAAGGUAAAAUCAUCAUUGGACUCUCAACAACCUCAUGGGUUACAGAACAUACCAUUUUGAAGAAUGUACUGCAAUGUAAGAAUUUCGUUUAAAAAAAGAAAAAAAAGGACAAUCUCAUUACUAUUGUAGAUAUUUCAUGAGUUUUUUUUUUUUUUUCUUUAGUUCUGUUUAUACCCAUAUUUCAAUCAGUUUGUAUUUGUUAAAAAAACAGAAUAAGAAAUCUGUUUGGCUUAAUCUCUUUUCAAUUUAAUGCCUCUUGGCCUUGUUGGUGGAUACAUUUAUGAACUUCAGUUUGUGAAUGAUUUAAUUUCUUUAUCUAUUUUUUGAAGUGUAAUUUAUUCCAGAUCGCAGUUUAUUACGGCAUUUUAAUAAUGUCAGCUUUGACUUCCAAAAAUAAAACUCCAAUCUUUGCAACUGUU